rnacentral:rRNA from 1 species
AUUGAACGCUGGCGGCAUGCCUUACACAUGCAAGUCGAACGGCAGCACGGGAGCAAUCCUGGUGGCGAGUGGCGAACGGGUGAGUAAUGUAUCGGAACGUACCUUUCAGUGGGGGAUAACGUAGCGAAAGUUACGCUAAUACCGCAUAUUCUGUGAGCAGGAAAGCAGGGGAUCGCAAGACCUUGCGCUGAUUGAGCGGCCGAUAUCAGAUUAGCUAGUUGGUGAGGUAAAGGCUCACCAAGGCGACGAUCUGUAGCGGGUCUGAGAGGAUGAUCCGCCACACUGGAACUGAGACACGGUCCAGACUCCUACGGGAGGCAGCAGUGGGGAAUCUUAGACAAUGGGCGCAAGCCUGAUCUAGCCAUGCCGCGUGAGCGAUGAAGGCCUUAGGGUUGUAAAGCUCUUUCAGGGGGGAAGAUAAUGACUGUACCCCCAGAAGAAGCCCCGGCUAACUCCGUGCCAGCAGCCGCGGUAAAGUAC